AAUAUAUUUUAUUAUAGUAAUUAGAUUUAUUAUUUAAAUAAUUUAUAUGUAAAAUUUUAUGUGAAAAAAUAUAAUUUAAAAAAUAAAAAUAAAAUAUUCGCAGUAAUUAGUAUUAUUUAUUUAAGAAAUUAUGAAUUAGUAAUUUAAUUAAGUAUAGGUUUAUUUUGUGCCAGCAAUCGCGGUUAUACAAAAUAUAUAAAUAAAUUAUAUUAAAAAAAGUUAGAUAGAAAAUUUUAAUUUAUAUUUAAAAUUACAUUUUUAGGUAAAAUUUUAAUGUAACAAUAAAUUUAAUAUUUUAUGAAAUUAUUAAUCUUAUAAAUUUUGUAAUAAACUAGGAUUAGAUACCCUAUUAUUAAAAUAUAAAAUAAAAAUUUUUUAGAUUAGUAUUAGAUAUAUUUAUGAAAUUAAAAUAAUUUGGCGGUAUUUUAGUCUAUUCAGAGGAAUUUGUUUUAUAAUCGAUAUUCCUCGUUAUAUCUUACUUAUUUUAUUUAAUUUGUAUAUCGUUGUCAUUAGAAUAUUUUAUAAGAAAAAUAAUUUUCUAAAAUUUAAAUAAAAUUUUAUGUCAAAUCAAGGUGCAGUUUAUAUCUAAGAAAAAAUGAAUUACAAUAAUAAUUAAUUAUAUGAAUUAAAAAUUGAAAAAAUUUUAUGAAGGUGGAUUUGAUAGUAAAUUUAAUAAGAGAAUUAAAUUGAUUUUAGCUCUAAAAUAUGUACAUAUUGCCCGUCGCUCUUGCUAUUAAAGUAAGAUAAGUCGUAACAAAGUAGAAAUAUUGGAAAGUGUUUCUAGAUAAU
rnacentral:ncRNA from 1 species